rnacentral:tRNA from 1 species
ACUUUAAUAGUUUAAUUAAAAUUUUGAUUUGUGGUAUCAAUGAUGUGUAGAAUAUACUUAGGGUU